AUCCUCAUGAAACACGCUUUCUCGUGUUGAUAUAUUACGUAAAUGUCUCUCUUUAGGAACAUCAGAUUAAAAACAACAGGAUUAUCUUAAAAUGUUUAUUGUGUUUUUGUUUAUUCUAUACAAAAAAUUAAUAAUAUUUAACUCGAUGUUUUCUCAGUCUUCGUCUUCAGAGUCCGUUUCUAAAAACAUAUGACAGGAUCUCGAUGAGUGUUGGUUUGUUUGCUGGUUUGAUCAAGCAGCAGAGUUGCAAAAAAGCUGCGGGCACGCGGGCAUUGCCCGCGAGGAAGGUUUACCAUAGGUGAGGUCAGUGAGGAAGGUUUAGUGGCCAAUGGUUGCUACCACCAAAAGAGUAAAACAAAUAAAUCAUGGUUGAAUAAGGCAGUUGAGGCUGACAAGUUGUGGUGGCACUAUUGUGAUAUAGUACCUAUACAGAUGACUAUGACAUUGGAGAAUACUGAGAAGACAAAUAACUGAAAAUAUUCUGUAAAAUUAAAAUGUGUAAGUGUCAAGCAUCAGAGGUGCCUUAGGCCACAUAAAAUAACUUGCUGGAUUCUCAUCACCGCCCAACUGUAUCUUAAGAGCCGUGUUAAAAUUUUUUAUAUUUUGUUAUAUAAUAUAAAUGUACCGCCCGACAAAAUAUUUCAAGACAGUUAAGGUAUUUUAUAUUGGGGUUUUAGUGCCAUUUUAAACUGCCAAUUCAAACAAACAGAAAGUUGAAUGAAAUUUCAUUGCAUUUUACAGGAACUUCGCAUUUAGUUCAAGGAGAUAUGUUGGAAAUGACAGAAAUGUGUACUGUAAUAUGUUUAUUUUGGUUUAUGACACUUCACUUCAGAACUCACAGAAAU